rnacentral:rRNA from 1 species
UGGCGAGAGAGACGAGAAAAGCUCUAGUGUAUACUAAGGUGCCCGUACCGCAAACCGACACAGGUAGAUGGGAUGAGUAUUCUAAGGCCAACGGGAGAAGGGUUGUUAAGGAACUCGGCAAAUUGGCCCCGUAACUUCGGGAUAAGGGGCGCCUGCGAGAGCAGGCCGCAGUGAAAAGGCCCAAGCGACUGUUUAGCAAAAACACAGCUCUCUGCUAAAUCGAAAGAUGACGUAUAGGGGGUGACGCCUGCCCGGUGCUGGAAGGUUAAGGGGAGUGCUUAGCGCAAGCGAAGGUGCGAACUUAAGCCCCAGUAAACGGCGGCCGUAACUAUAACGGUCCUAAGGUAGCGAAAUUCCUUGUCAGGUAAGUUCUGACCCGCACGAAUGGCGUAACGAUUUGGGCACUGUCUCAACAGCCCGCCCGGCGAAAUUGUAGUACCGGUGAAGAUGCCGGUUUCCCGCAACUAGACGGAAAGACCCCAUGGAGCUUCACUGUAGCUUGAUAUUGGAUCUCGGUAUUCCAUGUACAGGAUAGGUGGGAGGCUAGGAAGUAAGCGCGCCAGCGUUUAUGGAGCCAACCUUGGGAUACCACUCUUGGGAUAUUGGGAUUCUAACCUGCGACCAUGAAUCUGGUCGGGGGACACUGUCAGGUGGGCAGUUUGACUGGGGCGGUCGCCUCCAAAAGAGUAACGGAGGCGCUCAAAGGUUCGUUCAGCACGGAUGGAAAUCGUGCACUGAGUGUAAACGCAUAAACGAGCCUAACUGCGAGAAUGACGGUUCGAGCAGUAACGAAAGUUGGAGUUAGUGAUCCGGCGGUAUGUGAAUGGAAAUGCCGUCGCUCAACGGAUAAAAGCUACCCUGGGGAUAACAGGCUGAUCUCCCCCAAGAGUCCACAUCGACGGGGAGGUUUGGCACCUCGAUGUCGGCUCAUCGCAUCCUGGGGCUGAAUUCGGUCCCAAGGGUUUGGCUGUUCGCCAAUUAAAGCGGUACGCGAGCUGGGUUCAGAACGUCGUGAGACAGUUCGGUCCCUAUCUGUUGCGGGCGCAGGAAUAUUGAGAGGAGCUGUCCUUAGUACGAGAGGACCGGGAUGGACGUACCGCUGGUGCACCAGUUGUUCUGCCAAGGGCAUAGCUGGGUAGCUAAGUACGGACGAGAUAAACGCUGAAGGCAUCUAAGCGUGAAACUCCCCUCGAGAUAAGUGUUCCCAUCCUCGGGAGUAAGGCCCCUUGUAGACUACAAGGUUGAUAGGUCAGGAGUGGAAGUGCAGUAAUGUAUGGAGCGGACUGAUACUAAUAGGCCGAGGGCUUGACCU